rnacentral:rRNA from 1 species
GGAAGGGGUGUAUUUAUUAGAUUAAAAGCCAAUGCCCUCUGGGCUCUUUGGUGAUUCAUGAUAACUUCUCGAAUCGCACGGCCUUGCGCCGGCGAUGGUUCAUUCAAAUUUCUUCCCUAUCAACUUUCGAUGUUUGGGUAUUGGCCAAACAUGGUUGCAACGGGUAACGGAGGGUUAGGGCUCGACCCCGGAGAAGGAGCCUGAGAAACGGCUACUACAUCCAAGGAAGGCAGCAGGCGCGCAAAUUACCCAAUCCCGACACGGGGAGGUAGUGACAAUAAAUACUGAUACAGGGCUCUUUUGGGUCUUGUAAUUGGAAUGAGUACAAUUUAAAUCCCUUAACGAGGAACAAUUGGAGGGCAAGUCUGGUGCCAGCAGCCGCGGUAAUUCCAGCUCCAAUAGCGUAUAUUAAAGUUGUUGUGGUUAAAAAGCUCGUAGUUGAACCUUGGGCCUGGCUGGCCGGUCCGCCUCCACCGCGUGUACUGGUCCGGCCGGGCCUUUCCCUCUGUGGAACCUCAUGCCCUUCACUGGGUGUGACGGGGAACCAGGACUUUUAC